GAUGAACGCUAGCUACAGGCUUAACACAUGCAAGUCGAGGGGCAGCGCAGUGUAGCAAUACAUGGGCGGCGACCGGCGCACGGGUGCGUAACGCGUAUCCAACCUUCCCGUUACUCAGGGAUAGCCUUCCGAAAGGGAGAUUAAUACCUGAUGGUGUUCAAAUUCCGCAUGUUAUUUGAACUAAAGAUUCAUCGGUAACGGAUGGGGAUGCGUGACAUUAGAUAGUAGGCGGGGUAACGGCCCACCUAGUCUACGAUGUCUAGGGGUUCUGAGAGGAAGGUUCCCGACCCGGGAACUGAGACGCGGUCCAGGCUCCUACGGGAAGCAGCAGUGAGGAAUAUUGGUCAAUGGUCGGAAGGCUGAACCAGCCAAGUAGCGUGAAGGAUGAAGGUUCUAUGGAUUGUAAACUUCUUUUAUACGGGAAUAAAACCUCCCACGUGUGGGAGCUUGUAUGUACCGUAUGAAUAAGCAUCGGCUAACUCCGUGCCAGCCGCCGCGGUAAUAC
rnacentral:rRNA from 1 species